CGAACGCUGGCGGCGUGCCUAACACAUGCAAGUCUACGAGAAUUGGGUAGCAAUAUCCAUAGUAAAGUGGCGCAAGGGUGAGUAAUAUGUAAGUAACCUGCCCAUAGGUUUGGAAUAACGUCGAGAAAUCGACGCUAAUACCGUAUAAUGCAGCGGCAUCGCAUGAUGAUGUUGUUAAAGUUUUUACGCCUAUGGAUGGGCUUGCAGCCGAUUAGCUAGUUGGUAAGGUAACUGCUUACCAAGGCUACGAUCGGUAGCUGGUCUGAGAGGAUGAUCAGCCACACUGGAACUGAGACACGGUCCAGACUCCUACGGGAGGCAGCAGUGAGGAAUAUUGGGCAAUGCCCGUAAGGGUGACCCAGCAACGCCGCGUGGAGGAUGAAUGCCGUAAGGUUGUAAACUCCUGUGAGAAGGGACGAAAAAGUGGGUUUAACCCAAAUUGACUGUACCUUCAGAGGAAACCCCGGCUAACUACG
rnacentral:rRNA from 1 species